rnacentral:sRNA from 1 species
AUUUUCUACAUACACUUUUGGCAUUUUCUACAAAAAAGAGCUCUUUAAGCAAUAUCAAUUUCUGUGACUAUUUUUAGGCAUUUUCCAGUAUUUACUGUGAGAGGCCUGUUUGAAGUAACUGAAAAUAUUCACAGCAUUUUUAAAAUCAAUAGUUGUUUCCAUACCCAAAAGCACAUUUUUGCGAAUCGAUUUGAACUAAUAUAGCUAUAUCGUAUAGCAAUUGAAACUAAUACCAAAUCAAGAUGUGCAAUCCAUGCUAUUCAUGUUGCGGCUCACCCUGCACUCCGCGCUGUGGCUCCUGUUGCGGAGCACCCUGCGGACCCUGUGGACCAUGUGGCCCUUGUGGAGGACCCUGCGGACCGUGUGGUCCCUGCGGCCCCUGCUGUCCACCCAAAGCACCUGGUCCUAUGGCGAAACGUCAUGGCCUGGAAGCUAAUUGUAGUCGUGCCUUCUGUAGAUCAUGCUAUUAACACUCUUUGGGUAUUUUGUACACUUUAAAUAGUAAAUGCAUUAGAUAUGAGCUACAAA